rnacentral:sRNA from 1 species
AAAUCGAACCGGUCGGUUCGAUUUCGAUGAAGUUGACGAAAAGUUUUGUCCGCACCCGCAGUUUUUCCCGGAAUUGUCUGCGAUAGUGAUUU